rnacentral:lncRNA from 1 species
CUUACUUCUCUGUCUAUAAACAUCUCGUAAUAAGUUAGUUUUAUAUUUCUAUUAGCUAAACAUAUUUUCGUUGGCCUUCUUGAUAAAGAUAUUUAUGUAACUUUUUUCAGGAAUCAUGAAAAGAGGAAAAAAGAAUCCAAAUUCAUUGAGAUUUAAGAAAACAUGGACUGAAAGAGCACUCCAGUGAGCAUUUUGAUGUUUCUAAGAGCCGAGGGGAAACCGCAGCACCAGGGGAAGGGACAAAAUCUGUGUGCUGGAUGCUGCUGGACUCUGUGGAUGCGAUGAUCAGCAAGACUCCUGGGGCCUUGCC